GACGAACGCUGGCGGCGUGCUUAACACAUGCAAGUCGAGCGAGUGAGUUCUUCGGAACAAUCUAGCGGCGGACGGGUGAGUAACACGUGGGCAACCUGCCUCAUAGGGGGGAAUAGCCUCCCGAAAGGGAGAUUAAUACCGCAUAAAAUUAUCGAGUGGCAUCACAUGAUAAUCAAAGGAGUAAUCCGCUAUGAGAUGGGCCCGCGGCGCAUUAGCUAGUUGGUGAGGUAACGGCUCACCAAGGCGACGAUGCGUAGCCGACCUGAGAGGGUGAUCGGCCACAUUGGGACUGAGACACGGCCCAGACUCCUACGGGAGGCAGCAGUGGGGAAUAUUGCACAAUGGGGGAAACCCUGAUGCAGCAACGCCGCGUGAGUGAUGAAGGUCUUCGGAUUGUAAAGCUCUGUCUUUGGGGACGAUAAUGACGGUACCCAAGGAGGAAGCCACGGCUAACUACGUGCCAGCAGCCGCAGUAA
rnacentral:rRNA from 1 species